AAAAAGGGCUUCACUUGUGAGUGGCACAUGUAGGGCACCUUGAUUGCUGUACACAUGGAAUCGACAUCGAGAGAUUUCAGAAGCAUAAUUUUUUUGGUAUGUGGGCAGCUAGUGAUCAUUGGUCCUGGAGCCUGC